rnacentral:rRNA from 1 species
AUGCAAGUCGAACGAAUCCCGGGGGGCAACUCCCGGGGGAAGUGGCGAAAGGGGCAGUAAGGCGUGGGUAACCUACCCCGGGGACGGGCAUAGCCCUCCUAACGGAGGGGUAAUUCCCGGCGAAGUGGCGGGGUCGCAUGGCCGUGCCAUGAAAUGAAUUUCGCCUCGGGAGGGGCUCACGUGGUAUUAGCUGGUUGGUGAGGUAACGGCUCACCAAGGCCGAGAUGCCUAGCGGGUGUGAGAGCACGACCCGCGCCACUGGCACUGAGACACUGGCCAGACUCCUACGGGAGGCUGCAGUCGAGGAUCUUCGGCAAUGGGCGCAAGCCUGACCGAGCGACGCCGCGUGUGCGAUGAAGGCCUUCGGGUUGUAAAGCACUGUCGAGGGGGAGGAAGCCGCAAGGUUGACCUAUCCCUGGAGGAAGCACGGGCUAAGUUCGUGCCAGCAGCCGCGGUAAGACGAACCGUGCGAACGUUGUUCGGAUUCACUGGGCUUAAAGGGCGCGUAGGCGGUCGACCAAGUCUGGGGUGAAAUCUUUCGGCUCAACCGGAAAAGUGCCCCCGAUACUGGCCGGCUAGAGGGAGAUAGGGGCAUGCGGAACUUCCGGUGGAGCGGUGAAAUGCGUAGAUAUCGGAAGGAACGCCGGUGGCGAAAGCGGCGUGCUGGAUCUCUUCUGACGCUGAGGCGCGAAAGCCAGGGGAGCAAACGGGAUUAGAUACCCCGGUAGUCCUGGCCCUAAACGAUGGGUACUGGGUAGUGGACUUGACAUGGGUUCACUGCCGCAGCCAAAGUGGUAAG